rnacentral:rRNA from 1 species
AUUGAACGCUGGCGGCAGGCUUAACACAUGCAAGUCGAGCGAGCGGCGGACGGGUGAGUAAUGUCUGGGAAACUGCCUGAUGGAGGGGGAUAACUACUGGAAACGGUAGCUAAUACCGCAUACAAUCAGAUGUGCCCAGAUGGGAUUAGCUAGUAGGUGGGGAAAUGGCUCACCUAGGCGACGAUCCCUAGCUGGACUGAGAGGAUGACCAGCAACACUGUAACUAGGAAACGGUCCAGACUCCUACGGGAGGCAACAGUGGAGAUAAGUGCACCAGGGGCGAAAGCAUGAUGCAGCCAUGCCGCGUGUGUGAAGAAGGCCUACGGGUUGUAAAGCACUUUCAGCGAGGAGGCUGUACUCGCAGAAGAAGCACAGGCUAACUCCGUGCCAGCAGCCGCGGUAAUAC